rnacentral:lncRNA from 1 species
AGGAAGAGGGAGUAGCAUACCAUCAGAGAGAGGAGGAGGAGGGAGUAGCAUACCAUCAGAGAGAGAGAGAGAGGAGGAGGGAGUAGCAUACCAUCAGAGAGAGAGGAGGAGGAGGAGGGAGUAGCAUACCAUCAGAGAGAGAGGAGGAGGAAGAGGGAGUAGCAUACCAUCAGAGAGAGGAGGAGGAGGGAGUAGCAUACCAUCAGAGAGAGAGAGGAGGAGGGAGUAGCAUACCAUCAGAGAGAGGAGGAGGGAGAGAGGGAGUAGCAUACCAUCAGAGAGAGAAGAGAGGAGGGAGUAGCAUACCAUCAGAGAGAGAGAGAAGAGAGGAGGGAGUAGCAUACCAUCAGAGAGAGAGAGGAGGAGGAGGGAGUAGCAUACCAUCAGAGAGAGAGAGGAGGAGGAGGGAGUAGCAUACCAUCAGAGAGAGAGGAGGAGGGAGUAGCAUACCAUCAGAGAGAGAGAGGAGGAGGGAGGAGCAUACCAUCAGAGAGAGAGGAGGAGGGAGUAGCAUACCAUCAGAGAGAGAGAGGAGGAGGGAGUAGCAUACCAUCAGAGAGAGAGAGAGGAGGAGGGAGUAGCAUACCAUCAGAGAGAGAGAGGAGGAGGGAGUAGCAUACCAUCAGAGAGAGAGGAGGAGGAGUAGCAUACCAUCAGAGAGAGAGAGGAGGAGGGAGUAGCAUACCAUCAGAGAGAGGAGGAGGAGGAGGGAGUAGCAUACCAUCAGAGAGAGGAGGAGGAGGGAGUAGCAUACCAU